rnacentral:sRNA from 1 species
UGGCCGUGACUCUGCUUCCGGCAGAGGA